ACCCAUAUUCAAUGGUGCCCCCUCCACAAAAGGCUUACAGACUCUAAAUUGCAGUACAUUAAGCUCUCACAGGCACUGAGCCUGUAACAGUCCAUACUAAGUUGCUCAGCAUGUCUUGGAUUCUAGAAGCAGCACCCCGCUAGCUCUGCAGAGGUUUAGGAGGAAUCCUUGUUACAUCAUAGAGUCAGAUGCGGGCCCUCUGCCAUAUUGGUUCUACAGGAAUGAGUAGCCUGCCUACCUUGUUCUUAGUCAUUGCUUUAUGCCAUGGGUUUAGGAGAUCACUGCCCUCUUAGGCCCAUCAGCUACCAAAAGAAACUCCUUCCUACCCCUCAACCCCAGGAUCAAAUGAGAAACAGCAGAGGAGGGUUAUACACUGUAAGGAUUGUCCGACCUACCCUCUGCGGGAGGACUGAGCUCGUUUGGAAAAAACCGGACCACAGGUUGAGCUCCAUGGCUCAAGACUGUAAUCCCAGCAGUGUGGGAGGUCCAGGCAGAAAGAUUGCUUGAUGUCAGGAGAUUGAGUCUACAGUGAGCUAUGAUCUCUCCACUGCACUCCAGCCUGAGUCACAGAGACUCAGUCUCAAAGAAAAAAAAAAUAAUUUUCCAGAAGAUCUGUCUUUAUUGGUGUUUAUCUUUUUUUUUCCAUGUGCGCAUUUAUUUAUUUCAAAGAUUGUUUGUGUUCCAGCGACAUCUUCUCCGAAGGAACCCACCCAGCCUGUGCACAGGCGAGGUACAGGGCUGUCUUCGGUGUUUAAAGUGUUACUGAGGAAUACAAUCACUGUCAGGAAAGUUCAUCACUGCACUUCAGCGUCAGGCCAAACCUUUUCACGGACCUGGAAAACCUGCCAUUUUCUUCUUUUUCUUUAAAAUGCAGUUUUGACAUAACAUUGUUAGAGUAAACAACAAACCAGAAGCCUAAAUGAUGAGUGGUGCAUUACUGCCCCGCUCCUAGCUGAGGAAACAGGGCAGCGGACUGUGUUUCGAAUGCAAAUGGUCAUGGGCCCAAGGUAACCUGAGUUUGCCCCGCAGGAUUCUGCA
rnacentral:lncRNA from 1 species